GUCGGAGAUCCAGAAGGUGCUGGACAUCACCGGUGUGCAGACCUACAUCAUCAACAGCGCCCGCAUCGUCUUCCUCAACGAGCGGCCUCAGCCGAGGCCGGGGAAGGGGGUCACGAACACCUGUGAAGUCUGCGAGAGGAGCCUCCUCGACACAUUCCGCUUCUGCUCGCUCGGUUGCAAGGUCAACGGCACCAGCACAAAAAAGGGUCUAAAGCGCGCCGGAAAAGCAAUGGCGCCU
rnacentral:misc_RNA from 1 species